rnacentral:rRNA from 1 species
UACGUAGGGGGCAAGCGUUAUCCGGAUUUACUGGGUGUAAAGGGAGCGUAGGUGGGGAGGCAAGUCAGAAGUGAAAGCCCGCGGCUUAACUGCGGGACUGCUUUUGAAACUGUUUUCCUAGAGUGCAGGAGAGGUAAGUGGAAUUCCUAGUGUAGCGGUGAAAUGCGUAGAUAUUAGGAGGAACACCGGUGGCGAAGGCGGCUUACUGGACUGUAACUGACACUGAGGCUCGAAAGCGUGGGGAGCAAAC